rnacentral:rRNA from 1 species
AUGAACUUUGUGCUUAUGCUACGUUGGGUUUGGCGGAUCUUGCGGGGAGAUGGGGGGUUGUGGCUGUAGCUGGUUGAGUCCAAGUACUUGCAGGGCCAACCCCUCAUGGCUUGCUCACACUCGGCUGGGUCCCAGUUCUGGAAAUCUAUUCUGGCCAUCAAGGAAGAGAUUAGGCUGGGUUUGCGUUUCUCGGUUGGCAAUGGGUCUGGGACCCAAAUUUGGUUGGACCCAUGGCUUGAGAGCGAGCCUCUCCGCUUGCGGUUCCCGAGGCUCUUUGCGAUUUGUGAUGACCCGGCCAUUCGUGUAUCUGCGGCUGCUUUGGAGGAGGGAUGGAACAUUGCGUUCCGCCACUCAUUCGGACCAGAUGAGGUACGGGAAUGGACAGACCUGAGGGAAGUAGUCCCUCUUCCUCUGUCCCAGGACCCUGACACUGUUUCUUGGAGCCUUUCUCCUUCAGGUGAAUUCUCCGUUAGUUUGACCUAUCAGGCAUUAUGUCGUAUGCCGGCUCUAUAG